ACUUGCUAGGUGAUUCCUUCCGCGGCUACCCAACGCUGGACCUUUGCUUAGGAGCUUACACCCCACCCGGGUUACCUUACUAUUGUUGCUUUGGCGGGCCGUGGCCUCCACUGCGGGCUCUGCUCGUGUGUGCCCGCCAGAGGACCAAACUCUGAAUGUUAGUGAUGUCUGACUACUAUCUAAUAGUUAAAACUUUGGACCACGGAUCUUACACUUCUUGGAUACAGAUGAAACGCAUACCUCUGCGAUUUUUUUGGUGAAUAUACCAAAUUCCAAGAAUCAUCGAAUCUUUGAACGCCGGUUGCCCCAUGUGAGGAACCUUCGGGCCGCCUGUUCGAGGGUGGAUAACCCCUCACUCUGCUUAAGGAAUUGGGGCACCCUUACUAAACUCACUCGGUGAGUACGCUGGUCCCAGUUGGCUCUUAACGGAGUACAUACUCCCGCUAUAGAGGGGCUGCGGGGGCUCGCCAUAGCCUCCAAUUUUUUACAGCUCGACCUCGUAUCCGGUAGGGAUACCCGCUGAACUUAUUAUAUCAAUAGACGGAGGAACAAACCGCGAACUUCUAAACCUUUGACGAUUGACUCAUGUUGCCUCGGCGGGUUCUCCCGCCAGAGGAUACGUCAAAACUCCUGUUUUUAACGGUGUUGUCUGAGCUACAAGCAACGAAUCAAAACUUUCAACAACGGAUCUCUUGGUUCUGGCAUCGAUGAAGAACGCAGCGAAAUGCGAUAAGUAGUGGGGAAUUGCAGAUUCAGUGAAUCAUCGAAUCUUUGAACGCACAUUGCGGCCCCCUUGGGUAUCCCGGGGGGGCAUGCCUGUUCGAGCCGUCAUUUCACCCACUCCAGGCCUUGGCUUGGUGGUUGGGGCGGACGUCCCCUUUUGGGGGACGGCGGCCUCGGAAACGGCUCGGGCGAGCGUGGCACCGGCCUUAGCGGUAGCAGAAUCUUUCGGCUUUCAAGGUCGGGGCCCCGGUCUGGCUGGGAGGACCUUACUUCGGCAGGGUGAACUCGGGAUCAGGGCAGGGAUAC
rnacentral:sRNA from 1 species